AGACUUGAUCCAACAGUGCGAUUGUCGCUCACUGGUAUUUAUACCCCUACGGUGUACAUGAGUGCAGACUAAUGGUUUUAGCUCCAGUUUUUUUUAGGCAAAUUUGAAUUACACGCUAUAUGGUUGUUACUUUUAAAUAAAAUAUGAAGAAAAAUAAAUAGAUAAUAUAUUUUAAAUGUUUUUUCUUUUACAAAGAUAUACCUUGAGCCGCAGUGCAUGCUGGGAAACACCUAACUUUAUGAAGUUGAUUUUUUGGAGCAGCAAACUUUUCCCCGGUAUAAACAUCACGAUAACGAUUUAGAGUCUUUUGAUAUCGCAUCAAAUCAAAAUGUCUAGAUCCACAAAGCGAAGGAAGGAGGGAAAAAUUCAGCUAGCUUGUUAGCUAGCGAACAUGAUUAUUGUGACGUCGGAGGACUUCCCUUCACUGCCAGUUACUCCAAGUAAGCCUCCGCUUGCCAAGAAAUUAACCCAAAUUUAAUUAACCCAAGAAGAGACACACUUUAAAAAUGGUUGAAACAGUCCGCUCUGAAAUCAAGCAAAUAAAUGAAAAGGUUUCACUUAGCGAAAAACGAGUAGAAAGGAGUGAAGAGUCAACACAGAAGUGCACGAAUCGGGUUGCUGAGUUGAAUAGUUCUGGUCGUCGAUGGAACCUGCGGCUGUACGGACUUCCGGAGUCUGAGAGGGAAAACGUGCGGGAGAAGGUGAUCAACAUCUGUAAAGGAGUCCUGCCAGCCGAGAAAGGGAAGCUUCCAGAUGCCAUCGAUGUUGCUCAUCGGAUGAGGAGGAAACGCAGUAGGAUGUCAGACCGAGAGGAGUUGUCAUCAGGUUUAUCUCCCGGCGCCUGAAGGAGGAGAUUUGGAGAGCGGUUUCUCCUGUCCAAAGGAUGACUCUUCAAGGAGGACCUCACUACGGAGGACAUGGAGAACCGACAGAAGCUGUGGCCGCCGAUCAAGAAAACACGUGAGGGGGGAAAGGUAAUCCCCCCUCAAAAACACCAAGAUUUCAUGUGGACCAACUGUUGGUGGCUUUGAAAGAACCCCCUCAGUGCAGAUGGAGUAAAUGACAGAAGAUCUUGUCUCCUCAGUCGCCCCAUCUCUAUUUCCAUCUGCAGCUAGCAGCAUCUGUUUCAACCUUCCAGACAAGAGAUGGAUGAAGAGAGGGAAGGAUGGAGAGAACUUCAUGGCUUGCUUGAAAUUAAUUUCUCAUCCGCGCCUCCAGAGCUUCACUCUGCUGCUGCUGCUGCUGCUGCAGCCGCUGCCGCUGCGGCGUGUGUCUACUGAGUCGGAGCUUCAUGCAUAAUGCAUCAGGUUUAAUUGCAAACCCAGAAACUAAUGACUUUGGACUGGUUAACAGCAGGGGAGCCAUACAUCUCGAGCAAACUGAAUGAAAAAUCAGCUCAGAGGAAAGAAAAAAAGCAGCCUACCCCCUAAUUGAUGAAUAAUUGAAGCGGCGAGCUACAGGGCAUAAUUGUGACAUUUUGUUUCAAUCAAUUUCCAAGUGGUGUGGGCGAAAGUGCACUUAAAGGGGAAAGGCAACAACAAUGAACGAGAGGGAGAGAUGGAGUGGAUGGUGAUGGAAAUGGACGUUGUGUCUUCAGUCACUCUGAUGACAUUUGGGAGUGAAGCUUUUUCUUUUUUUUUCUUUUUGCCUCUUUUCUGCUCUUUGAUAAAACAAUUAAAAGUUUUUUUUUUUUAAAUCCCAUCCAUCCUAAGGAGCUAUUGUUCACUUUCAGUCAUUGAACAGACAGAAACACAAAAACAUGAAGUGAGACUGGUUAAGUAGGGCUGUUUGGGUGUUUUUUUUUUUUAACUAAUAAUGUUAAUUUCCUUUUUGGACUCAUCCAUUGUGUUACAGUUUAACAGAUUCAUCUGUUCUCCUGAAAGCCACAAAACAAACUUCAGAACUGAAAAACAAAACAAACAAUAAAAAGCUUGUGAAUUGUG